UAGACAUAGGAAACGCAGUACCAAAAGUUGCGGAAAAUGCAAUGACUGAUAAAACCGCGGGAAAUGACCCGGGAGUAGUCGCCGUUAUUAGAGGAGAGCGAUGCAUGCAUCAGUGAGCAUUGCAUAGUGGCCUUUGUUUAUUGUGGCAGCGGAGGCGGGGCCCACCACCGACCAAAGCAGAGGCUAUUCAGAACGAGGGGUCUAUUGUGAGGGAGAUUUGGGAAAAGCGAGAAACGCCGUUCACUCGAUGCAACAGACUGACUAGCUUGUCCCGGGGAAGUGUUGGAAUAUGCCAAGAAUAAACAAGUGAAUUUAGGAAGGAUCUUGAUUGAUGAUGCCCACUCAUUCGACCUGGCAUCCCAGAAACAUUUUCAAAAGUUGUUAAAUUUUGUGUUCUGCUAUAACUAAGUAGCUAGCUGGUCAUCUUGCUACCAACGUUAGCUUACUAGCAAGCCAGCUAGCCUGCUAAUGGUAGCUAGGUUGCUAAAACUUUGAUAAACAUAUAACACGUAAUUGUACACAUAGCUAACUAGCCAGCUACAGUGCGGACGGUUGUGACAUGGACAAAUUAGUUUAAGAGGCUGUGGCCAGUAUUGCAAUGUCAGCUGUGACUCAAGGCAUGCAGGGCUGGAAUUCGUGAUCCAGGCCCCUCCCACCCCUCUCUCUUGUCCACUCCCAGGGUCAGGUAGGUAUGGGAUGCAGUGCAGUGUUGUACGAUCUUCUCCCAAUAUUGCACUCGUCCCGGCCUCCCUGACCCUUGGGAAACCACAUCUCCCUUUCAGGGGAGUGAGGGAAACAAUUGCCAGAGGUACCUGGUGGGACAACCAAGAAUUUCUCUGCAGGUUCACUGAAGCAAACAGGUGUCUGUUGGACAGAUGUUGUCAGAUGUUUUAAGAUAUGGAGGCAUUUGAUGGAUGUCAGUCUCUUAAAAUAUCUUUGUAUGUUUAUAGAAUAUUGGGCCCUUUCUUUGGAAAAAAAAUCAGCCAUGUGCCUUACUCCUUGCAGAUGUCUUUAUGGUUGUCUGUGUACACAUUCUAUUGAAUGGCUUUCUGGUACAAAUGUGACAUUACUGCACAGUUGUAGAAAAGGAAACAAGUUAUUCAAGAAUUAUGUAUUUUUAAAAAUACACUAAGUCAUUUCACAAGGAUACUAUAUAUAUAUAUAUAUAUACCAUAGCUUAGUGUGUGUAUCAGCAUUACUAUGGCACGAUAACACUAUAAAUGAAAAUAUCAGAAUUGUAUUUAAAGUGGAUUAUAAUGGUAUACUUUAUUGGCUUUCCUGUUUUUGUUUCGCUGAGGACUGCACUGUAUAGGACCACUUUUGUUUGGAAGUUUGUGACAUUGAUGGGGUCAUAAUACUAUAGGCCAACAGCGGCUGUGCAUAAACUCGAACAAUAAAUACGUUUGGUGUGCAAAAACACACAAGCAUACCUUAGAAAAGCAAAAACAACAAACAGUAAAUUGAAGCUCUUUGAAGUUGGCAUCCAUUUUAUUCAUGAUGGAGAGGUGUGGAGAUUUACACUCCGCCGUGGCAGUUUCGACAUGCUUUAAAAGCAAAGAACAAGACUGUGGCAGCGCUCCAGGGAAAAUAAACAGGUACUGCAUUGUAUCUCUGUCCCAUUGUGGACCAGGGCGGUCUGCCAGGCCCAGCAAACUCUUCAAAAACUGCGGUUCGCUUGCUCCACCUCCCACUGUCCCUGCCUGACCGCUGGCUGGCUGACUGCCACUGCCGCAGGCCCGUGCCAAGUCCGCCAGAGACCCUGUCAGCAGCCCUGACACCCUGCGAGAGGGCAGCGAUGUAGUGCACUGUGGGAUUGGGCAACGGCAGAGUAUCCCAGCAUUCUGAGGGCAGGGAAUCUGCCUGGCAGUUGCUAGAACUCACCAGAGGGAAGGGAGUCAGCUUUCACAUGUCCAGUUACUUUAAAGCACUGGUCUUAAACUUUUUAUUAUCGAGAUCAAAAUUAGAAUUUUUUUUUUUCAAAAUUAGAAUGCUUUUUUUUCAAGUACACAUACUAGCAUAGCCUAGUGGACUCUAGACUCAUUCCUGGACCCAUCUCGUACACUCCCAUGACCCAUAGUUUUAAGAAACACUUUUAAAAGUAUCCUUUUAGAAGAAACUUGAUUACGAUGUUAUGAUGCUCUGCUCAAACAUGCUCUGUCAAUGAUCUUUUCAUGGAGUGACUAAUUUUGUUUGUUUUUCUAUUUGACAUCUUUUAUGAAACGUAUUGUGUGUGUGUGUGUCAUACACAUGUAGACACACACAUACACACAGACUCAAUGUUACUUGUGAUUCUGUGGGAGCCUUUUACAAACCCUGUUUAAAUAUAAUAUUUAUUGGUAUAUUUAUGUCAGGUUUCAAAUAGGAUUGCUUAUGGUUACAUUUAAAAAAUUUGAAUUAAUAUUUAUUAAUUCAAAUUGUGACUCUCUUGAACAGCGGUCUAAGCAAGAAGGCACAGGUUGAGUGUGCUCUCUUCCUUUGCUACAGAAAUAAGUAAGGCAUGAACAGUGCCUCCGACAGGGAUCUGAACAGCAGACGGUGUUGGAAGUACAGAGAUGUGAUGCAAGCCACAGUCUUCAGUGCAGAGUGUCUGUGUCUCCUGGGGAUAAGUCUCGCUGGUAAUAACCAGGUAUCUGAUGUGUGAAUCAACAGCAGAUUACUGUAGAGCAUGUCAGUGUGGACUGGCGAGCUGCCUUUGUUCAGUGAUAAUCGCAGAAAGAAACCUCCAAGUUGAAAUUUUUGAUGAAUGAGGAAUUCAGCGACCUAGGAGUGGUUGUGGUUGAGGCGAACCUUUCAUAUUUGCUCCUUAACAGUUUGAUGUUUUGUUGAAUUGUCAUUUAGGAGAAAUAAAGGUUUUUUAAAAUGA